UACGAAGGGUGCAAGCGUUAUCCGGAUUCAUUGGGUUUAAAGGGUGCGUAGGUGGGGCGAUAAGUCAGUGGUGAAAUCCUGCAGCUCAACUGUAGAAUUGCCAUUGAUACUGCCGCUCUUGAGUACGCUUGACGUGGGCGGAAUGUGCCGUGUAGCGGUGAAAUGCUUAGAUAUGGCACAGAACACCGAUAGUGAAGACAGCUCACGAAGGCGAAACUGACACUGAGGCACGAAAGCGUGGGGAGCGAACAGG
rnacentral:rRNA from 1 species